UACGUAGGGUGCAAGCGUUUGUCCGGAAUUAUUGGGCGUAAAGAGCUCGUAGGCGGUCUGUCACGUCGGCUGUGAAAUCCCGAGGCUCAACCUCGGGUCUGCAGUCGAUACGGGCAAACUAGAGUAUUGCAGGGGAGACUGGAAUUCCUGGUGUAGCGGUGAAAUGCGCAGAUAUCAGGAGGAACACCGGUGGCGAAGGCGGGGUCUCUGGGCAAUAACUGACGCUGAGGAGCGAAAGCGUGGGGGAGCGAACAGG
rnacentral:rRNA from 1 species